rnacentral:rRNA from 1 species
UACGUAGGCAGCGAGCGUUGUUCGGAAUUACUGGGCGUAAAGAGUGUGUAGGCGGUGCUCUAAGUUCGGUGUGAAAUCUCCCGGCUCAACUGGGAGGGUGCGCUACAAACUGUCUGACUAGAGUGUGGGAUGGGUAAGUGGAAUUCCUGGUGUAGCGGUGAAAUGCGUAGAUAUCAGGAGGAACACCGGUGGUGUAGACGGCUUACUGGACCAUAACUGACGCUGAGACACGAAAGCGUGGGGUGGCAAACAGG